rnacentral:rRNA from 1 species
CCUACGGGUGGCUGCAGUGGGGAAUAUUGCACAAUGGGCGCAAGCCUGAUGCAGCCAUGCCGCGUGUGUGAAGAAGGCCUUCGGGUUGUAAAGCACUUUCAGCGGGGAGGAAGGCGUUAAGGUUAAUAACCUUGUCGAUUGACGUUACCCGCAGAAGAAGCAACGGCUAACUCCGUGCCAGCAGCCGCGGUAAUACGGAGGGUGCAAGCGUUAAUCGGAAUUACUGGGCGUAAAGCGCACGCAGGCGGUCUGUCAAGUCGGAUGUGAAAUCCCCGGGCUCAACCUGGGAACUGCAUUCGAAACUGGCAGGCUAGAGUCUUGUAGAGGGGGGUAGAAUUCCAGGUGUAGCGGUGAAAUGCGUAGAGAUCUGGAGGAAUACCGGUGGCGAAGGCGGCCCCCUGGACAAAGACUGACGCUCAGGUGCGAAAGCGUGGGGAGCAAACAGGAUUAGAUACCCCAGUAGUC